CGUGAGAUGUUGGGUUAAGUCCCGCAACGAGCGCAACCCUCAUCCUUAGUUACCAUCAGGUAAUGCUGGGGACUUUAAGGAAACUGCCAGUGAUAAACUGGAGGAAGGUGGGGAUGAUGUCAAGUCAUCAUGGCCCUUAUGGAGUGGGCUACACACGUGCUACAAUGGUGGCUACAAUGGGCUGCAAAGUCGCGAGGCUAAGCUAAUCCCUUAAAAGCCAUCUCAGUUCGGAUUGUACUCUGCAACUCGAGUGCAUGAAGUUGGAAUCGCUAGUAAUCGUGGAUCAGCACGCCACGGUGAAUACGUUCUCGGGUCUUGUACACACUGCCCGUCACGCCAUGGGAAUUGGUUUCACUCGAAGCUAACGACCUAACCGCAAGGAGGGAGUUAUUUAAAGUGGGAUCGGUGACUGGGGUGAAGUCGUAACAAGGUAGCAGUAGGGGAAUCUGCAGCUGGAUUACCUCCUUAGG
rnacentral:rRNA from 1 species